rnacentral:lncRNA from 1 species
CUCGGCUCCUGCUCCAGCGGCACGAUGUGAUCCACCAGCUAGGAGGGACGCCAAUAAGGCGUCUGAUAAGAGAAUGGUGUCAGAAGUGGGAUAACUCCAUGCCUAAAGGUUCCCAGAGAAAGAGGUAAACCUGCCGCCACAGCCUGCCCUGUCGGGCCGCUGAGCUGCAUGGGAGCAGCUUCCAUAUGCUCACGCCGUCCCGGCGCUUGCUAAUGGGGUUUAGACUCGACAGUUCUGAGAUGAUAAAGACAGAUCCAGAUAAAGAAAAACCUCUGAAGGUUUACACUACAUUUAAAAAUAUAUGUAGGCUUGUGAGAGAAAAAGUAACAGGAGGAAAUAGAAUAGCCAGGUUAUGGUGGCCAAUGCCGUUAGAAUUUGCUAAAGGAAGCAGAGGCAGGCAGAUUUCCACAGAGAAACUGUCUCAGAAAAAAAAAAGAAACAAAAGGAAGUAAAAGUAGAAUAGUAAAAAGCCACCUAGAGAUAAAAAAUACACAGAGAAUCUGGAUACUAAAUGCUAUACUGUUGUCUUUAAAUUGUUUGAUUGCCGAGGAAAGAAUUACUGCUGCUAAAAUACAUUUGAUUAUAAAUGCUGCUAAAUUAAUCCAACUUAUACAUUUUAAAAAUGCUCUAACUUCAGGAUUUGAGUUUAAGGACAGUCUACUUAGAAAUAAAGGUUUUACUUGUAUUUACACAGAAAAUCAGAAGCUGUGGAUUCCUUCCAGACUAAUAUGGUUUGAUCAAGCAAGACCCCCUGAAGCUGAGAUGAUACAGCCUUACAGACUAUAAAAACAAGGACUUGGUCAGGUUUCUAUGUUUUAUCAUGAUCCUAAUGGUAUAUGAACAUCGCCCCCAAUCAGCAGGAAGCAGUUUAGAAAGAACGACGCCCAUAUUCCCAAGUAUUGUUUAUAAAUGUUUUUUUCAUUUAAAUGAGGUUAGUUAUAAAUGAUAAUGAGCAUAGUCAAUCUCUUUUUAAAGAAAGAAAAGGGGAAUAGGAUAUAGGAAUGAAUACUUUAAAUUGGUAAAGAUUUUCAUUUAUUGAUACAACUUUAAGGUCAGUUUUGUGAUAUGUAUAUGUCUACUCUUGUUUAGGUAUUGUGUUUAUACAGAUCUUUUACCUAUAAUAGUCAGAACUUAUAAUUAGGUUAGUUAGGUUUUCUAGAUAUAGAGAUGUAUUUGAGAUGGUUAGGUGUUCUUCAAACCUUUCAAAGACCUACAGAAAUACGGCAUUUAAAUGGUUUAGGGUUUUUCUUGGCAGUGAGACACAACUGCUCCUGGCACACCAAUUACGUCAGAAAGGAGGAUGGGCAUCGAAGAAACUCGUUAUGGAGUUUGCUUUCAACAUGGCAAGACUAGCCAUUUGGGCAAGAAACUGCUCUUGCCUGGACUGUUUGUUGCUGUAUAAAUUGGACAUGCAGGACCCACAAGAAAAUGACUGCUAAACUUACAAAACUGAAGGGUUCCUGUUAAAAUGGAGGAGUGUGCUAGACAUACUGUGGCCUAUAGGCUGAAGAUGGAUGCCCCAACAUUACAGAGGAACUUUGGGUGACUGCCCAGGUAGCAAGAUGUCCUGUGAAUUCAAGAGUUUAUAUAUUAUCCUUCUGUGGUCUUUGAUAGAGUUAAAGACAGAUAGUUAUGGUUAUAGUUUUCUUCAGUUAUUAUAAAAAAUAAGUCACCCUUCUUUUUAUUUAGACAGAAAAGAAGAGAUGAUGGGGGAAAUAUUUCUGUGUAUGUUUAUAAAUAAAGUACUUGCUUGGCCAAUG